rnacentral:rRNA from 1 species
CCUACGGGUUGCACCAGUGGGGAAUAUUGGACAAUGGGGGCAACCCUGAUCCAGCAAUGCCGCGUGUGUGAAGAAGGCCUGAGGGUUGUAAAGCACUUUCAGUUGGGAAGAAAAGCGGGAGGUUAAAACCCUCUUGACUUGACGUUACCGACAGAAGAAGCACCGGCUAACUCCGUGCCAGCAGCCGCGGUAAUACGGAGGGUGCGAGCGUUAAUCGGAAUUACUGGGCGUAAAGCGCGCGUAGGUGGUUUGCUCAGUCAGAUGUGAAAGCCCCGGGCUUAACCUGGGAACUGCAUUUGAUACUGGCAGACUAGAGUUUGGUAGAGGGUGGUGGAAUUCCCGGUGUAGCGGUGAAAUGCGUAGAGAUCGGGAGGAACAUCAGUGGCGAAGGCGGCCACCUGGACCAAAACUGACGCUGAGGUGCGAAAGCGUGGGUAGCA